ensembl:lncRNA
GGCUCAGACAGUAAAGAAUCUGCCUGCAAUGCGGGAGACCUCGGUUCCUUCCCUGGGUUGGGAAGAUCCCCUGGAUGAGGGCAUGGCAACCCAGCUCCAAGAUUCUUGCCUGACAGAGGAGCUUGGUGGGUUACAGUCCAUGGUGUCACAAAGAGUCAGGCACGACUGAACAAUUAAGCACACACACGCAACGCCAACCUAAGGGGAGUGGAUGGGAGCUGGAGCUUGAGUCACGUGGCCAAUGAUUUAAUUACUCAUGCCUCUGUAAUGGUAACCUAAUCAAAACUCUGGACACUGAAGUUUGGGUGAACUUCCACAGUUGGCAGUACUCUGCAUAUUUUGACACAUGGAUGUGCUGGCAGAGUGACAUGUCCUAACUCUGUAGGGAGAGUUCACAUCUGGAACUCUCCUAAGCCUCACCUAUGUGUCUCUCGCUUUGGCUGGUUCUGAUUUGUAUCCUUUAAUUUAAUCAUAAGUAUAGCACUUUCCUGAGCUCUGUGAGUCAUACAAGUGAAUUAUCCAUUCUGGAGGAGUUAAUGGGAACCUAUGAAUUUGUAGCCAGCUGGUCAGAAGUGAAGAUGACUUGGAGAUCCCCAAGCUUACGACUGGUAUCUGAAGUCAAGCAGCAGAAAGCACUGCAGGAAUUUAGGUGCUGGUCAGCCCACAAAUUUGUCAGGAAAGCUACACCGUGAAGCUUAGCUAACAGGCAGGAGUGGAGGAAGUCUGCGCAGCCAGAGCCCCAGGCAAAGCCUUCCCACAGAGCCAGUGAGCCAGAACCCCUGUGGCAUCACCAUUGAGGCUGUAGGGAGCCUACACUUGCUUUGCCACCACUACUGGCACCAGGCCUGGACACAAGACACUGGACAUCAGACACCAUGCUGGCACCACUGCCCCAGCAGCUCCUGGAAACUGAAUGUUGCUGGUGCAACCAGAAGGAGUUUUGUUCUCGCCCAGGUUCUCAGCAUGACAAGCAAGUGACAUGGGUCAUCACAUCUGAGUGCCCCAGCCUAGGGGCUGGCGGUGAGAGUAUCUGGUGUUUGUACCUUCCAUAGAGAGAUGAGCCCUGUCUGCCACCAGGAUUUUAAAGGAGGAAGGUCAAAACCCAUCAAGCAACGACGUUUAUCACUUAUGCCUCAUUGGGAGUGAGUUUAAUCAAAACCCGGCCCAGAAAAGAAAAAAAAAAAACCUUACCCAGAGAGUGAGUAAUGGAAGCAUAGAGAUUAUGGGCUCUGAAGGUAAGGAACUCUGCUUAUCACCAGCCUGCCCCAGAGCCCCUGGACUCCUAGGAGCUAAAUCAAG